rnacentral:rRNA from 1 species
GAUGAACGCUAGCGGCAGGCUUAAUACAUGCAAGUCGAGGGGUAGCAAGAUUGUAGCAAUACAAUUGUUGACGACCGGCAAACGGGUGCGGAACACGUACACAACCUUCCUACAAGUGGGGAAUAGCCCAGAGAAAUUUGGAUUAAUACCCCGUAACAUAGCGAUGUGGCAUCACAUUGCUAUUAUAGCUUCGGCGCUUGUUGAUGGGUGUGCGGCUGAUUAGAUAGUUGGCGGGGUAACGGCCCACCAAGUCUACGAUCAGUAGCUGAUGUGAGAGCAUGAUCAGCCACACGGGAACUGAGAAACGGGCCCGACUCCUACGGGAGGCAGCAGUAAGGAAUAUUGGACAAUGGACGCAAGUCUGAUCCAGCCAUGCCGCGUGAAGGAUUAAGGUCCUCUGGAUUGUAAACUUCUUUUAUAAGGGACGAAAAAAGGUCUUUCUAGAUCGUCUGACGGUACCUUAUGAAUAAGCACCGGCUAACUCCGUGCCAGCAGCCGCCGUAACAC